rnacentral:rRNA from 1 species
UGUGCUUACAAGCACACAAAGCACGUCAACGUGUGAUGUGGUACCUUUUGUAGAAUGGUCCGGCGAGUGAAUGUAACUGGCGAGGUUAAGUUCUUAAGGAACGGAGCCGAAGCGAAAGCGAGUCUGAAUAGGGCGUCUUAGUCAGUUGUAUUCGACCCGAAACCGGGUGACCUAUCCAUGUCCAGGAUGAAGUUAAGGUAAAACUUGAUGGAGGUCCGAACCCACGGUCGUUGAAAUGCCCGGGGAUGAGAUGUGGAUAGCGGAGAAAUUCCAAUCGAACCCGGAUAUAGCUGGUUCUCUCCGAAAUAGCUUUAGGGCUAGCCUCGACUGAACAUUACCGGAGGUAGAGCACUGAAUGGGCUAGGGGCCGAGAGGUUACUGAACCCUAUCAAACUUCAAAUGCCGGAAAAUGAUAGUCGGGAGUCAGACUGCGUGAGAUAAGUUUCGUAGUCGAAAGGGAAACAGCCCAGACCCACAGCUAAGGUCCCAAAGUACGGUUAAGUGGAAAAGGAUGUGGAGUUGCACAGACAACCAGGAUGUUGGCUUAGAAGCAGCCACUCAUUAAAAGAGUGCGUAAUAGCUCACUGGUCGAGUGACUCUGCGCCGAAAAUUUAACGGGGCUAAAUCGUACACCGAAGCUUGGGAUGUAUCUAUGAUACAUGGUAGGAGAGCGUUGAAUGCGGGGUGAAGUCAGAGCGAAAGCGCUGGUGGACUGCAUUGAAGUGAGAAUGCCGGAAUGAGUAGCGAGAUUUAUGUGAGAAUCAUAAAGGCCGAAAGACUAAGGUUUCAGAAGGAAGGUUCGUCCGCUUCUGGUUAGCCGGGAGCUAAGGUGAGGCCGAAAGGCGUAGCCGAUGCACAUACGGUGGAGAUUCCGUAGCCGUCGAAAUAUUUAAGCAAAGGGACACUUAUGAAGGACAUGACCCGGGCGAUGGUAGCCCCGGGCGUAAGGGACCGAAAACAAGUAGGGAAGCAUGUUUGGAUUAAGGCGAGAAAAGCUUUGUGUAUAUAUGAGACGUCCGUACCGCAAACCGACACAGGUAGUCAGGAAGAGGAUUCUAAGGCCAACGGGAGAAGGGUAGUUAAGGAACUCGGCAAAUUGACCCCGUAACUUCGGGAUAAGGGGCGGUGCGCAAGCACCCGCAGUGAAUAGGUCCAGGCGACUGUUUAUCAAAAACACAGCUCUCUGCUAAAUCGAAAGAUGACGUAUAGGGGGUGACACCUGCCCGGUGCUGGAAGGUUAAGAGGAGGAGUGCAAGCUCCGAAUUGAAGCCCCAGUAAACGGCGGCCGUAACUAUAACGGUCCUAAGGUAGCGAAAUUCCUUGUCGGGUAAGUUCCGACCCGCACGAAUGGUGUAACGAUCUGGACGCUGUCUCAACUGCCCACCCGGCGAAAUUGUAGUACCGGUGAAGAUGCCGGUUACCCGCAGCAAGACGGAAAGACCCCAUGGAGCUUUACUGUAACUUGAUAUUGGGUCUUGGUAUUCUAUGUACAGGAUAGGCGGGAGACUAUGAAACAUACACGCCAGUGUAUGCGGAGUCACCCUUGGGAUACCGCUCUUAGAGUACUGAGAUUCUAACCUGCGGCCGUGAAUCCGGUCGGGGGACAUUGUCAGGUGGGCAGUUUGACUGGGGCGGUCGCCUCCUAAAAGGUAACGGAGGCGCUCAAAGGUUAGCUCAGCACGGUCGGAAACCGUGCCUCUGAGUGCAAACGCAAAAGCUAGCCUAACUGCGAGGCUGACGGGCCGAGCAGUAACGAAAGUUGGAGUUAGUGAUCCGGCGGUAUGU